GACGAACCGUGCAAACGUUGUUCGGAAUCACUGGGCUUAAAGGGCGCGUAGGCGGUCGAUCAAGUCCGGGGUGAAAUCUUUCGGCUUAACCGGAAAAGUGCCUUGGAUACUGAUCGGCUGGAGGGAGGUAGGGGCAGGUGGAACUUCCAGUGGAGCGGUGAAAUGCGUUGAUAUUGGAAGGAACGCCGGUGGCGAAAGCGACCUGCUGGACCUCUUCUGACGCUGAGGCGCGAAAGCUAGGGGAGCAAACGG
rnacentral:rRNA from 1 species